GUGUCAGCAGCCGCGGUAAAACGUAGGUGGCGAGCGUUAUCCGGAUUCACUGGGCGUAAAGCGUGUUCAGGCGGCUUGACAAGUCGGGCAUGAAAUCUCUCGGCUCAACCGGGAGGGGCUGUCCGAAACUGUUAGGCUUGAGGGCAGUAGAGGCAGGUGGAAUUCCCGGUGUAGUGGUGAAAUGCGUAGAGAUCGGGAGGAACACCAGUGGCGAAAGCGGCCUGCUGGGCUGCCCCUGACGCUAAAACACGAAAGCUAGGGGAGCGAACGGGAUUAGAAACCCCCGUAGUCC
rnacentral:rRNA from 1 species